rnacentral:rRNA from 1 species
UACGAAGGGGGCUAGCGUUGCUCGGAAUUACUGGGCGUAAAGCGCACGUAGGCGGAUUGUUAAGUCGGGGGUGAAAUCCUGGAGCUCAACUCCAGAACUGCCUUCGAUACUGGCGAUCUCGAGUUCGGGAGAGGUGAGUGGAACUGCGAGUGUAGAGGUGAAAUUCGUAGAUAUUAGGAAGAACACCGGUGGCGAAGGCGGCCCACUGGUCCGGUACUGACGCUGAGGUGCGAAAGCGUGGGGAGCAAACAGG